UGGUCGAUUGGGAUCAGAUUGCUCAGUUUAAUGACAUGGUGGUCGUAUCUGAACAUAAUUUGCUCAGUUUAGCGACUUGGCGGUCGAUUGAAGUUGAGAUAUUCAGUUUAGUGACAUAGCGGUCGGUUGAAGUUGAGAUGCUUAGUUUAGUGACAUGGUGGUCGGUUUGAGUUGAGAUGCUCAGUUUAGUGACAUGACAGUCAGUUUGAGUUGUGGUGCUCAGUUUAAUGACAUGACGGUCGGUUUGAGUUGUGGUGCUCAGUUUAAUGACACGGCGGUCGGUUUGAGUUUUGGUGCUCAGUUUAAUGACAUGGCGGUCGAAUGUUCAGUUUAAUGACUUGAUAGUCAAAUAUUCAGUUUAACGACUUGACGGUCAUACCUGAACUUGAUUUGCCCAAUUUAGCGACUUGGGAGUCGAUUGAAGUUGAGAUGCUCAGUUUAGCGACAUGACGGUCGGUUUGAGUUGUGGUGCUCAGUUUAAUGACAUGGCGGUCGAUUUAAGUUUUGAUGCUCAGUUUAAUGACAUGGCUGUCGGUUUGAGUUUUGGUACUCAGUUUACCGACAUGGCGGUCAGAUGUUCAGUUUAACGACUUGAUGGUCAAAUAUUCAGUUUAACGACUUGAUGGUCAUAUCUGAAUUUGAUUUGCUCAGUUUAGUGACUUGGCGGUCGACUGAGAUUGAGAUGCUCAGUUUAGCGACAUAGCGGUCUGUUUGAGUUAAGUCGCUCAGUUUAACGACAUGGCGGUCGGCUUGAGUUGAGUAUCUCAGUUUAACGACAUGGCGGUCGGUUUGAUUGGUUGCUUAGUUUAGCGACUUUGCGGUCGUUUGAUUUUGGGUUUAGUUUAACGACUUUACGGUCGUUUGUAUUUGGUUGUUUAGUGUAGCGACUUUGCGGUCAUUUGAUUUUGGGUUUAGUUUAACGACUUUGCGGUCGUUUGAUUUUGGGUUUAGUUUAACGACUUUACGGUCGUUUGAUUUUGGAUUGUUUAGUUUAACGACUUUGUGGUUGUUUGUUUUUUGGUUGUUUAGUUUAAUGACUUUGCGGUCGUUUGAUUUGAUUGUUUAGUUUAACGACUUUGCGGUCGUAGGUUUUAUUUGUGGACUUUGGGUUUUGGGUUUUAUUUGUGGACUUUGGGUUUUGGGUUUUAUUGUGGACUUUAAAUUUUUGGAUUUUAUUUGUGAACUUUGGUU
rnacentral:lncRNA from 1 species